CGUGGGCUCGGAGAUGUGUAUAAGAGACAGGUAAAGCGCUGUCUCGGUGCGGGCUGCGAAAGCGGUACCAAUCUGUUGCAAACUCGGAAUACCUAGAACGCUUUCAAUCGGCCAGUGAGACUGCGGGGGAUAAGCUCCGUAGUCAAGAGGGAAACAGCCCAGACCACCAGCUAAGGCUCCUAAAUAAAAGCUAAGUGGCAAAGGAGGUGAAAAUGCAGUGACAAUCAGGAGGUUUGCCUAGAAGCAGCCACCCUUUAAAGAGUGCGUAAUAGCUCACUGAUCAAGCGUUUUCGCGCCGAAAAUGACCGGAACUAAGUUUUUUGCCGAAGCUGUGGCUACAUCACAUAGAUGAUGUAGGGUAGAGGAGCGUUCCGUCCAGGGGGAAGCCAAGCGCGUAAGCCGCGGUCGACAGGACGGAAGUGAGAAUGUCAGAUUGAGUAACGUAAACAUUGGUGAGAAUCCAAUGCCCCGAAAACUCAAGGGUUCCUGCGCAAGGCUCGUCCGCGCAGGGUCAGUCAGGACCUAAGGUGAGGCCGAAAGGCGUAAUUGAUGGCAAGAAGGUUUAUAUUCCUUCACUAGUCUAGGCUUAGUCCUGAGGGACGAACAAAUAACACUCGGCACAACGGCCACACUUGGCAGUAUGGAUAAACCCGUUGCUGUUUGAUGCUAUUUAUUCCAAGAAAAGCUCAUUCGACUUUGAGUCUAGAUUACCUGUACCGUAAACCGACACAGGUGAGUGGGUUGAAUAAACUAAGGGGAGCGAGAUAACUCUCUCUAAGGAACUCGGCAAAUUGGCUCUGUACCUUCGGAAGAAAGAGUGCCCCUCAGGGGGCCGCAGUGAAGAGAUCCAGGCGACUGUUUACCAAAAACACAGGUCUCCGCAAAGUCGUAAGACGACGUAUGGGGGCUGACACCUGCCCAGUGCCAGAAGGUUAAAGAAGUUGGUCAAUCUUUGAUGAAGCUAACAACUGAAGCCCUGGUGAACGGCGGCAGUAACUAUAACUGUCCUAAGGUAGCGAAAUUCCUUGUCGGGUAAGUUCCGACCCGCACGAAAGGUGUAACGAUCUGGAUACUGUCUCAGAGAGAGACUCGGUGAAAUAAAACUAGCUGUGAAGAUGCGGCUUACCUGCACACGGACAGAAAGACCCUAUGAAGCUUUACUGUAACCUGGAAUUGCUUUCAAGCUUAUUUUGCGCAGCUUAGGUGGGAGGCUACGAACCUUUUCUUCCGGGAAGAGGGGAGCCAUCAGUGAGAUACCACUCUUGGUAAGCUAGAGCGCUCAGUCUUCACCGUCAUCCGGUAAGACGACAGUUUCAGGCGGGCAGUUUGACUGGGGCAGUCACCUCCCAAAAGGUAAUGGA
rnacentral:rRNA from 1 species